GCGCAGCGAGAAAGCGUUGCCGCAGGCAACGACCCGAAGGGCGAAGCGCGCAGCGCUGAGUAAUCCUUCCCCCACCACCA
rnacentral:sRNA from 2 species